GGCUGGACAGGGCUGGGGAGGGCGCUCCAGGGAAGCCGAUCUAGCGUCGAUUCCUGCAGUUGCGGCCCGGGUCCCCGCGCCUGGGAGAGGAGGCGACGCGUGGCCGGCGGCUUUGUGGCGCGCGGGUUCCAGCGCGGGGGCGGGGAGAGAGGGCGAGCUGAGGGCCUCGAGUCCCAGCACUCCGCCCCGCUGCGGGCGCCGGGCAUGGCCAGCCCCUUGCCGUCCGGCUUCCCCGUGCGCAGGAACAGCCGCCUGGAUGUGUUCCUGCGGCGGCAACUGCCGCCCGAGGUUUACGACGCGGUCCGCGCCUACGAGCCAUGCAUCGUGGUGUCCAACUCUGAGAACCACAUCCUCAAGUACGUGGUGCUAAGCGACCGGCUCGUCUACCUAACCGAGAACCCGCCCAAGUCCAUCCGGCGUGUAGUGGCUCUGCGGGACGUCGUGGCCAUUGACCUGAUUGAUGAUUACCCGGAAUUUUUGAGUUCGCCAGAUAGAGAAAUCAGCCAACACAUUCGUAUCAUCUAUUCUUCAAACGUUUUGAAAAAAGAGUGUAAAAAGUCAAACGGUGUCAGGAAAUUCCUAUUUCCAUUUCAUCAUCCUAAAGCUAACAACAAGAAAGUCAAGGAAGAAAAGAAUGGCCUUGCCUUUUGGAGAAGCAAAGAGUCCAGAAGUCUGAACGAAUCUCCUCUCAGGGACCAGCAGGAGAGCAGUACACCAUCCAAGGACUCAACUCUCUGUCCUCAUCCAGGCCUCAAAAAGCUGUCCCUUCAUGGCCAAGGUGCCUUUCGACCCCUACCUUCCCCCUCCAGGAGGAGCUCUCAGUCUGCACCAACAACUGGCAAGGCUGUCAGCGAGCCAUCUUGCACAACAAACACAAAAGAACCCCAGGGACUUCCAGAUCACAACAACUCCAUAAGUGAAAUUCCUUUCAAGUGCAAUGGGAACGGAAAUGAGUUUUACUUAGGAAAUUCCCUCCUAGAUUCCCCUUCACAGAGCAACUCAAAUUUAGAGAAAAAGGAGUCAGAACUUCAUUUGUAUGUUAUUUCCACAACCUCAUCAAUAUUUCUGCACUUAAAAAGUUCAUGGAACAAUUAUAUUAUAAAAGCUACUCUUUUACAAGAUCCCUUCUAUGCUAGUGAGUUCAGUCCUGCUAUUGGAAGUCAAAAGCCAUAUAGGUCUGAGGAGAAAACUAAGCACUUCAGUCAACUUAAAUCUGAACUUUUUCUUAAAGACAAUUCUUUGAGGAGGAUACUUUCUUUACUUAUGGAACUUAAAGUAGCAGCCCAGAAAAACUUCAUUCUGAAAAGGCUUUUCUGGAAGACCAGUGACCUUUUCUAUUUCCUAGUAAACAAACUUCAUGAGUACUUGCCGGAGUCUAGGGAUAAGAAUGCACUACAAAAUCAAAGCCAAAGGGUUGAUGAGCUGGUGGCAUGCAUUGAAAUUACACAGACCCUAGUAUUGAUGUUCAGAGAAACAGAAACUGAGUCAUCACGCCUGAACACAUUGGCAGCUAAGAAGGGAGCACUAUUUAAUCUCUUGGUAAUUUUAAUUAGUGAGCCUCAGAUUCCAAAAUCUUGUCCUGUGUUUGAUAUCCAGUUGGUGGCUGAUUCAGCUUUAGUCAGAAUGUCUUUUGACGCUGAGUUACAGAAGCUUAUUCUGGAGUAUACAAAUACUGCUACAGCACUUUUAUAUGAGAUACUUCUUGUCUUUCAGCAGGGAAAUCUCGGAUUGGGAUCCACAAAGUUUGCUAUUAGCUGGAUAAUGUCCUUUCUACAAAGCUGUCCUCCCAUCAUUACUUUUGUGGCCAAUAUUGUGAAACAAGUGGUGAGGGGUCUUUCAGCUUCAUUUCAGCUGCUAAGUCCCUGCCAAGCAGUUCUGUUGUACCAGCAAUUUUACAUCCUCAAGAGCUGUCUGCGGCACAGCAGGACUCUAGCUGAGUAUAUUAGGAAUAACUACAGAGAAGAAUUCAGGCUUUUACUGAGGCCGUGGGGGAUGAGUUCUACUCUUCCCUCUUGACUUGGCCCUAGUAGUCACCACAGCUUGACCCUUUCAUUUCAACUCCUCACUGCGCAUUGCCUGAUAAACCAAGAAGCAGGAGCCUCUGCUCAUACUGUGGUACUUUAUUCACAUGCCAGCCUUGCAGAAAAGGCUCCCAUUGUGUUACCCCAUCACUCAACCUACCACUCAACUUUUUCAUGAAGUUCUGAAAUUGGUUGAAUAGAAACAAACAAUGUACGCAAUGUUAAUAAGAGUAUAAAAUGUUAAUCAAGAGUCAA